ensembl:lncRNA
UUUUUACUAGAACUAUCACAGAAAUUUUUCAGGAAUCUUAUUCCAGUGAUAUGUGACAGGUGGUAGUGUUAUUUUAAGGGUUGUAUUUAAAAGUGUUUCCCGCAACUUUAAACAGUGUUUUAUGAAUUAGAAAAAGCUUUGUUGUUCAUUAUGGGUAGUUGACAAAAAGAACACAUGUAAUAGUCAUAUAAUGUAAGCCACCUUUUUUAUUUAUUUUUUUGGACCAUUUUCAAUAGAUAAUAAUUUUAAUGUUGUAUAUGAGGUCAUAAAAGCUGCAUACACAACUCAACGCAUCGCAUGUAUGUUUGUUCUGAAUGUUCAGAUUACAUUAUGAAACAAUUUGAACUGGAAAAACAUUUGCCCUGCUCUCUGCACAAUAAGCAACUCUGUCUUUGCAUAUUGCCAUAUUUAAGAGUACAAAUGAGUAGAAAUAAAACUUGUCGGUACCAAACUAUGCACAAAGUUGUUUAACAUAGGAACAAGACAUUUUCACCAAUCAUCUGUUUGAUUUCUUUGUCCUCCUCUCUGUAUUUGUCAGCCUCUCUCUGGCGUGCGUGGAGGAGGUGGAGUCCGUCUGCGAAGAGACCUGCGGGAUUCAGUGCCCUACGAGGCCCAGAUGAUGUCUUACCCUGCUGCUGACUUCAGGAGCCGAAGCAAUGAUCUCUACUACCAGCCAGAGGUCUUAAGAGCUCAGGGUCUUGGACAAGCCCUCCAGCGACUGGUGGAGAACGAUCAGAGGCGGGAACAGGAAGCAGCUUAUCUGGCAUCAAUGCUGCGGCUCCUGAACGAGGCACAGAAUAACGGACAGGGCAAACCUGAGGAAGAGGAGGAGGAGGGUGACUUCCAGGCCCCGUACCCUCCGGACUACGAUGAGACCGAGCAGCCCCAGGCUUCACGGCAGGGCCUUCUGGAUCCUCAGCUUACUCAGGCUCUACUCAACCGCUACAAGCAGGAGAGACUGAUGCAGGCUGGACUUGCUCCGAACACCAACAGGAUUCCUGAGAGAGAGCAGGACAAAGACCAAGAGAUGCUCAGGUACCUUGUUGAGAAGAUUCUCUCCAGCUUGGCAUCGGGUGGCAAUCAGGGAGGACCUUCAAACCAGCGUGCUAAGCGGGACCUGAGCGCUGUGGCCAACAUGGAGCAAUAUGGAGGACCCACCCUAAAACGCUCCCGUCGGUCCCUGGACUCCAUCCCUGGCCCCUCCCCUCAGGUCGAGGCAUCACUGCUGAGGGUGAAACGGCUCGAUGGCGACGUGGACGAUGACGAGGUCGCAGGGCAGAACAACAGAACACCACACGUCAGCCUGCAGAGAAUGAAGCGCAUAGACACUGACCUGCCGCCCCCCAAAAAACACAGCCGCAAGCGCAGAGCCCUGACCUACGACCCCGCUCUGAUCGCACAGCACAUCCUGCAGUACCUGCCAGCCUAAAGAGUAGAAGAAAGUGAGAGGAAUAACAAGGAAAUGUUUGGGGGAAAGUAGAGGGAAAUCUAGACAGACAGAGGGACUGCAACAUUUCACUAGCUUACAGAUUCGCCAGUGUUCAUUGUCAUCUGCCUAAAUCUAAUCAAGGCCUGCUUGCCGAGGUACUCUGAUAUGAUGUUACUCUGUUUCAAUGUUAUACUAUAAUAAAUCCCACACACAUAACAGCUUAUGGAAUAUGCUUUUUGUUUUUCUUCUUUCUGGCUACAUUCUACAGUAUUGAAGGCUUUUCUGCCAAAAAAUUAAAAAGGUAAUUGCAAAAGGUAAUUGCAAAAAGGUAAUCACAUCUCGCAAUUCUGACAUUUUUUCUAAGAUUUAUGAGUUUAUAUCUCAAAAUUCUGCCUUUUUUCUCUGAUGUCUGAGUUUACAUUUUGCAGUUCUGACUUUUUUUUUCUCAGAUUUGCUAUAAAGUCAGAACUGUGUGAUCGUAAGUCUCAGUUACCUUUUUAAUUUUUUGUGUUCCAUGGUGGAAACAGGCUUCCAUAGUACAGGCAUUAAAUGAACUUACCAACAUGGAAAUGAUCAUCACUGACUGGCUUGCACAAGUAGCUCAUCGCUGUUUUUGUCAGAAUCAACAGGAUCAAGGUCACACUAAUCUUUAUUACAGACUGAGAUGGUUUUAAAUGAUGCUUCACUAUAAAUAAGAUCUGUUGAAAUGCUGUUGAUAACUCGCUUGGUCCUUAAAAAAAAAAAACACAGCUUGACCAGCAUUUAGGUGAUGUUUUGUCGUGUGCAUUCUCCCUAAUGCAUACAACAAUAUUACCCAGAAUCCCUGAGUUUCUCAACAGAGAACUUCUGCUGUGUAACUGAAUGGCAGCUCUAUAUGGAAACUAAAGUGAUUUCUGGGAUGCUAUAUUGAUUUUUUUAUGUGAAAGACAUAGAUGAAAUAGUUAUCAGGAGUAAGCCACUGAGAAUUAUAAAUAUUAUAUAAUCUAAUAUAAUUAAACUACUGUUUAAAAGUUUGAGGUCAGAAAUUUAUCUGACCUGUUUUAAAUUGUAAUAACAUUCCACAAUAUUAAUAAUUUACUGUAGCGUUAUCAAAUAAAUGCCUUGAGCAAAAUAGACUUACAUCAACAUUAAAACAUUAAAAACAAUCUUAAGACUCCAACAUUUUGAACAGAAACAUUUAGAUCCAAAUGGCAAUGAAUCUAAACAGAACAUCUCUAGCUAUAAACUGUUUAAAUAAUUCAUAUCAGUCUAUUUCACUUACUGUGUGAAACAGGCCUUAUAUGUCAUAUUUAAAGACUUAUGAAUCAGAUCAGUUGAAUGUUUGACAUUGCUAUAUCUACUCCUAUACCUAUUGUAUACUGUUUUAGAAAUAAGCUACAUUUAUUUUUAUUUUUAUGUAAUUUUUUUCUGGGAACAAAUGAUUAAGAAACAAAAAUGAUUGAAAUCUAUUUAUUGCAUAAGAUGUCUGGUACAGGUUUAAACAGCAGCACAAUAUCAGAUCAGCUGCUUUAUACAGCAGUAAGCAGCACUACAAGAGUUUAGACUCAAAAUGAGUCUGUCUAAAUGUCAAACCUGCUCUGAGUGAGUUUCCUGUCCUCUCUUUCUCUGAUUGGCUGUCUGAAGUGGUGUACCAUCUUCUUAGUGUCAUAUGCAUCCUAUUCAAGCUUGAUGAAGUGUAUUUUGUCCCUUGACUUGACUUCGAAACAUUCUGUCUGAUACUAAUCACUGUCCCAACUUCUUGCCCUCUGGGUUUGUAAUCUGACUAUUAUGAAUUUGUGAAAGAAAUCGUGGCUCUUAGUAUAUUUAAAAGCUUUUCGAUAUAUUUGUGCAGUCAUAAAAUCUUGUACAAAAAUACAUAUCUCUGCACUGCGAGUUUUGUCAAACAACAAAAAUCACUGUAAGUGCUAAUAAAGUGUAUGUGAACACCAAUAUUUUGUUUAGAACUUUGCAUUGCUUUUACGGUGGCAGUGGGUUAGAAAUGACCUCACAUUUAACAUUUAAUGCAACAGCUUGAUAAAAUCAUAGCCUAUUAGCAUUGCAUCUAAACAGAAGCUUACUCAACUAAGACAAUGGCUGAAGACAAUUACAAAUACAACAGUGGCUUGCAGACUUAAUGUUAGCAUCAACUUUAUUACUGUAUUGUAAAGUAUAUCCAUGUUAAAGGGGAAAGGGGCAGAUCUUAAAGGAAUAGUUCACCCAGAAUUAAAAAUUUGCUCAAAAUAAGUUCAUCCUCAGGAUAUCCAAGAUGUAGAUGAGUUUGUUUCUUCAACAUCACUUGCUCACAACUGAAUCCUGUGCAGUGAAUGGGUGCCAUCAGAAUGUGAGUCCAAACAGCUGAUAAAAACAUUACAAUAAUCCACAAGCAGUCCACAUGAAUCCAGUCCAUCAAUUCACAUCUUGUGACGUAAAAAACUGAGUGUCUGAAGAAAACAUUAAGGCAUUUUAACUUUAAAAUGUCACUUCCGGCAAAAAAAAAACAGUCCAUAAGCCAAAAUGUCCAUCUCUCAAAUCAAAAUCCAACAAAAUAUUUGUUUAGAACUGUUUUCGCUUGUAAACGCUGCUAGAUCUGUGCAAAUUUCUCUCCUGAUUCAGAUGAGAUGACUUUUUCACAUAAAAAAGCAAUAUUAUGGAUGGAGGGCUCAGAUUUUAGCCAUGGUUAAAAACAUCUUAGUAAUGGAUUUGUUUCUUGCAAACACUAAGCUUUUCACUUCACAAGAUGUUAACUGAAGGAUUGGAGUGGUGUGGGUUAUUGUGAUUAUUGUGGACUCUCAUUCUGACGGCACCCAUUCACUGCACAGGAUUCAGUUGUGAGCAAGUGAUGUUGAAGAAACAAACUCAUUCAGAUCUUGGAUAAGAAAGUAAAUUCUGAUUUAAUGCCAACUAUAAAUAUGAACAAUUAUUUGCUACUUUUAGCCUAAAGAUGAUCAAAUCAGUAAAUCCACAUGUUCAAGGCUUUACUGACAAAAACAACAACAAAACUAACUAAACAGAUUAAUAGUUUAUAAUGCUGAAUAUCUAACUACAUUUCACUCCAGUCCUCAUCUUGAAUUCAUGCACAGAAACAUCCAUAACACAGAAUCAAACAUCACAGUUAAUCGUCUAAACAUCAUUUAACUGAAAACCACAUUGAUGUGAUCUGUUCGUGCAUCGCAGCAGGUCACAGAGACCUCGACUGUACCUCCACUUGGAAAUGCACUAAAGAAAAUGGCCUUUCCUCUUCUCUUUUAAGCCACCAUUACAAGAUCAGAGUAAUGUUCCUCUGCCAGGGGAGAAAGGACUCGGAUACUGUUGCCAGGUGACUGUUUCUAUGCAGACAGGUUAUGUAAGCAGAAUUCACAGGAUGAUGAUGACAUCAUGCUGAGGGGGAAAAGAUCGUCUCUUCACACGGUUUAUGUCAUCAUUAUUUGUCGAAAGAGAAGAGCACAAACGACGUGAUGAAACAGCCACCUGAGAGGGUGAGAAAGAACAGUGAGGUUUGUUACAGAAGAGAGCUACUGCCAGAAAAACAAUCCCCAGAAAACCAGACUACUGUCUUACCAGCAGUUUCUGACUGGUGAGAACAGCUCAGGCCUGUCUUAUGCUGCCAGUAACAAGCCAGUCACUGAGAAGAGGGGAGAGAACAACAUUACAUGAUUAACAUAUCUGUGUGUAGAGAAUAACAUGAAAAUGAGUGUAAUUAAUAUUAUACUAAAUAAAUAAGAAAGAUAAUCAAGCAAGCAGUUCAGCUUCACUUAAUACCACAAUAUCACAAUCACAAGGAAAGUUGAUUAAUUAAUUUUAUAUAUAUAUAUAUAUAUAUAAAUGUAUGUGUUUUUAAUAUCAUUUAUAUGCUAUUAUAAUAAUGAAUCAUUUUGAAUUAGCAUUUAUUUUUACUUUCAGCUUUAAUUUUAGUUUUAAGUUUUAGUAUUUUUGUAA